ensembl:lncRNA
GUGUCCUGGGCUCGCCAAAAGGGCUCCAAGAGGAGUGAUCUUCAGAGAGCGAUCCUUCCUCCGUGGCAGUCAGCCCUUAAAUGGGGUUUAGGAGAGGUGGAGCCUGGCUCCACCCCUUCCGGUCACACAGGUGGAGUUGCAGUUCAACAGGUCUCAUACAGGGCCACAGGCCUGGGUGCAGUACUCCAGAUGGGGCCUCACAAGAGCUGAGUAGAGGGGGACAACCACCUCCCUCUCCCUGCUGGCCACCUCUUUCUUAACGCAGCCCAGAACACACUUGGCCUUCCGGGCUGCCAGCACACACUGCUGGCUCACGUCCAGCUUCUAAAAUCACACAACGCUGGAAUGGUUUGUGUUGCAUGGCUCCCUGAAGAUCACAGAACCACUGGAUUUUUGUACGCUGGAAGUGUCCUUGAAGAUCACAGAACAAUAGGAUGGCUUGUGUUGAAAACGUCCCUGAAGAUCACAGCACAGUAGACUAUCCUUGGUACACUAUCAUUGGUAGAGGGCCUCGAGGAUUUGGCAGUACCUGAGAGGCAUCCCAACCCAGAGGAGAUGCUGGUCAUAACCUCCACCACCUCUCUGGGCAACCCGUCCCAGGGCUCCCCCACCCUUUCCGUAAAGAAGGUCUUCCACAUGUUUGCAUGGAACUUCCUGUGCUCAAGUUCUAGGCCACUGCUCAUUGUCCUCCGCUACGCACCACCGAGAAGAGCCUGGCCUCAUCCAUUUUCCUCCCACUUCCCUUCAGAUAUUGAUUAACACUCGCUUUGAAUCUCUAGUUAUAGGGUCUGAGACGAUGGAGAUCUGACGGCUACUUUUCCAUACCAGCCCCCUCGCAUGGCAAAAUCUUCUGGUUCUUUCUACCAGUUGUGCAAGCCCCAGAACUUGCUGGACUCACGGAUUCCACGCUACCCCACCUGAGCCGUGAUUCGUGUUCACGCGUCCCAGGCUGUCAGACGACGAUUGACCCCAGGAUUGUUCCUGGGCAGUGGGGCGCAAAGCAGGAGUCAGAUACAACUAGGGCAUCCCCUAAUGUUCCAAUUCAUUGCCCCUUGCUACCCUGAGGCAAGCAGGGGCAAGGGAAGAGGAGGAGUACCUCCACGUACCGGUCCUCCGCCUUUUGUCUCAGGAGAAGUGGUGCACCGAGAGGCCUGAGAGAAGGGGGAGAGAAGGUGUGGCAGUUGCACCGCCACAG